rnacentral:tRNA from 1 species
CAGAGAGUAGUUAAAUAAAGAAUUUUGGCUUUGGGAGCCAGGGGUGGGAGUUUAAGUCUCCCCUCUUUGA